GUUUACGAGUGCAAAAGGGAAGUGCAUCAGGACCUGGAGAGGAAGCUGCCUGGUGAGGGUAAAACUCAGGGCACAGAACUGAGGUUGAAGAGAGGUCAGACCCGGCUUGAAAUCAGAAAAGGGCUUUUUCACCAAUGGCCUCAUUCACAGGGUGCAGGUCCCAAAGCCCUUUAAAACCUGGAAUGUGUGGAACCCCUUGACCAAUAAUGGUGUGGAAUGUAGCAACUGUGAUCACCAGGAAGUGAAGACAAAAACUGGAUCAAAGCUAAAGAAGCAGGGGAGGGGGGUUAAGGAAACAGAACCAAAGAUGGAAUCUGGCCAGGGAACCUACACUAAGAGCCCCAUUACUGCAAAAGUGCCCUGUUGAUCUCUGACCGCACGUGAUCCAUGACCUUGGAUUAAUCUGUCAGGGGGAACACAGCAGAGUGCCCGCUAGUACCCGUUGGGGCAUUACUUCAGCACUGAGAGGGCCACUUACUGGGUCGUCAGUACCAAUUCUUGCAGCCCCCUGCAGGUCUCCCUGCAAGUGCCCAACCCUGGAUAACCAGACAGUUUCCAAGACAAGAUGACCUGUCUUUUUGCACCAUGGUAACCACCUUAAAGCUGUUAAGAACCCGUGUGAGGCUUCUCUGCAAGGACACUGAGGGAUGGUAGGAGAGGGACUGAACCUACCGCAGGGACCUGGUGUCACUGAAGGAACCAAUGGCAGCAAGCGGGCACCGUGGUUUAAAGCUUGCCUUGGUAGCUGCUUCAAGAGGACAGCUCGAGUUACCCAACCUGGCAGCGAGUUGGCAGUACGUGGGCACUUGUCCUGCCCAUCGGGUAGAUCUAAGUGCGGAGCUACCCGCAUGGCUCAGAAUAGCCUUGAUUGGCUUAAUUGUUGUUGUUAUAAUUCCUGGUAUGCCAUGCACAGCAGCAGGGGGCUGGGAAUGGGAUGUUCAUUUCUGAUCCAUGCUACACCUUAGAGCAAGAAAUGACACCAUGUGUUUGGCUGAAUGUUUCUGGAAGACCGUCGUGUCCAGCUGGUUGGUUGGGCUUUGGGCUGCUAGCUGUAGCAGUGAAACUACAGGCUCUGCCUCCUCCAGCCACUAGCCAAGCAGCAAGACAGAGAAUACAGGGAACAACAGGCGGCGCCAUUUCACUGCUUCCUCCUCCGGUGUCUUGCAGCCAUGAUUACUCACUGAUCCCCACAUUAAACCCUUCCAGCCAGCCAA